UACGAAGGGGCUAGCGUUGUUCGGAAUUACUGGGCGUAAAGCGCACGUAGGUGGCGACGUAAGUCGGGUGUGAAAAUCCCUGGGCUCAACCCUGGGAACGGCAUUCGAGAACUGUGUUGCUGGAGUACGGAAGAGGAGGGCGGAAUUCCCGGUGUAGCGGUGAAAUGCGUAGAUAUCGGGAGGAACAUCAGUGGCGAAGGCGGCCCUUCUGGUCCAGUACUAGACACUCAAG
rnacentral:rRNA from 1 species